rnacentral:rRNA from 1 species
GAUGAACGCUGGCGGCGUGCCUAAUACAUGCAAGUCGAGCGAACAGAUAAGGAGCUUGCUCCUUUGACGGUAGCGGCGGACGGGUGAGUAACACGUGGAUAACCUACCUAUAAGACUGGAAUAACUACGGGAAACAGGUGCUAAUACCGGAUAAUAUUUAGAACCGCAUGGUUCAAAAGUGAAAGAGGGUUUUGCUGUCACUUAUAGAUGGAGCCGCGCCGUAUUAGCUAGUUGGUAAGGUAACGGCUUACCAAGGCAACGAUACGUAGCCGACCUGAGAGGGUGAUCGGCCACACUGGAACUGAGACACGGUCCAGACUCCUACGGGAGGCAGCAGUAGGGAAUCUUCCGCAAUGGGCGAAAGCCUGACGGAGCAACGCCGCGUGAGUGAUGAAGGUCUUCGGAUCGUAAAACUCUGUUAUUAGGGAAGAACAAAUGCGUAAGUAACUGUGCCCGUCUUGACGGUACCUAAUCAGAAAGCCCCGGCUAACUACGUG